rnacentral:tRNA from 1 species
GUUUUAAUAGUUUAAUAAAAACAUUGGUCUUGUAUACCAAUAAUAAGAUUCAAUCUUUUAAAACU